rnacentral:ncRNA from 1 species
GAUAGAGGUUGCGCGGUUCAAAAGUAUGCUGUAACGAGAUUUGGCCAGAAUCGUUAUUGAGUUUCAGCCGAAAGGGGAGAGCGCCGAAGCAGUUUAAUUGGCCACUGAACUGCUGGUGGUACAUUGAACAAAUGUACUGCUGUCAUCAUGUAUUAUGGUGGAGAGCUAUCGG